GGGGAUUUAGCUCAGCGGUAGAGUGCUUGCCUAGCAAGCGCAAGGCCCUGGGUUCGAUCCCCAGCUCCG
rfam:Rattus norvegicus chromosome 4, whole genome shotgun sequence.